UGCAACAUCCUGUGCCAGUGCCUGCAGCAACAUCAGCUGUUUGACUCCUUCAAUAGGCACAUCAUUUUGGUGUUCCGUACCUACCACUGCGAACACAGCACAUCACCCGGGACAUCCGCUCUACACGAUCCUGAACAUGGCAGAGACGCCAUUCAUGCCUGACGUUAUGAAGCCUUCCGAUAAUGUCAAUCUGGUAUCGCGGACCUCGAUGCUAAAGAAACCAUGCUGGCAAUACUCACAUCGCUGUGUCUGCUGACUUUUGUAGUCCUUGUGGUCUCCUUCGUGAUUACUUCCAGCAGUCCUGUGAGGGCUGACUCGGACGUCGACUACACGGAGGACCUUGCUCAGCUGAUAGUAGCCCCUGUUGUGGUCAAAGAAGCCGAAGGAAUGUUACGCCGAACGGUUUGGACGACGCUUCCAAUGACCUGAACGCACUGCGUAGGGAAGGCAUCAGGCACUACGGACUCCUGAACGUGCUUUCGUACCAAAGGGACUUCCAGAAAACGGUUAUGAGCACGAAGGGCGUGCUUAAGGUGCGUCUGUGAGCCAACGAAGUGCAGAAAUCU
rnacentral:lncRNA from 1 species